GAUGAAGAACGCAGCGAAAUGCGAUACGUAAUGUGAAUUGCAGAAUUCAGUGAAUCAUCGAAUCUUUGAACGCACCUUGCACUCCUUGGUAUUCCGAGGAGUACGCCUGUUCGAGUGUUAUGAAGCUCUCAAAACGCAAUUGGCUUAAAACCUGAUUGUUGUUUUGGAUUUGAACUUUGCCGUGUUAUAACGGCUGGUUUUAAAAGUAUUAGCUGGUACUAGAACGAAUUGGUUCUACUCAACGUGAUAAUUAUCUGAUCGUUGAGGACAUUCCUUUCACGAGGAAUGGCCAUAGUAAAUUCAAUGGACUGCUUCUAAUCUGGCUUUAAUUCUUUAUUGGAUUAACCACUUUUCAAAUCUGACCUCGAAUCAGGUGGGACUACCCGCUGAACUUAAGCAUAUCAAUAAGCGGAGGA
rnacentral:misc_RNA from 1 species